UUGAGUUACGGACUAGUGGGUUAGAUCGAUUGGGCUUUUGAUUCGGUCCAAAUUUUAGAAUUCCGCGCCGCAUAAUUCAAAACUGUAGUUCAAUUCAAAGUCGAAAUAAUCACGGUGAGGCGGGCCAACAUUAACCCUCCCGCGCCGCGAAUCUCUGGUUUUUUUAGAUUUUCCCGAUUGCCAUGGCUUCUAUGUCUCUUAAUCAUCACCACUUUUCCCUCCAUUCUCUUAUUUUUUAUUCUUUCUUGUAAAAAUAAACCCUCUUAUUAUCCUUUUUUUUUUUCUUUUCAAAUUCUUCUAUUUUCCCCAAUAUUUUCCUUUCCUUUCUCUUCCUUGCAAAUAGGGUUCCGCAGUUAUUCAGUUAGGGUUUCAACUUUUAACUCUCUUUAGAUCUAAUUGAUGGAAAGCCAAGACAAUUUCACCGACGGGGUUUUCAAAACCCGUUCCGCUUUAACGGACAUGACUAACCAUCCGUCAAAAAGGCCGUUAUCUUUGAUUUCCGGCGACGAUAGGGUAGAUAAUUUAGUCAAAAAGAAACGUCAGUGCAAUGAUAAUAAGGGGAAAAACCUUUGUUUUGAGUUACCAUUUUGCGGCGAUAAUUCUUCGUCUCAGGAACCGAGCUUACCUAGUGGCGGGACAGAUGAUUCCAAUGAUAGUUUUGUUGGAAGACAUUCGAAUGAAGGGUUUAUCGAUCGGACAGUUGAUAUUAAUGAAAUGGAACGUUGUGUUGUUGAAAAUUUAGGAUCGGAUAAAUGUGCAGCUGGGGUUGUGGAACCACGAAUUGUAUCUUCUUCUAAUUUUCCAGGAUUGGAACGGUGUGUGAAUUCGGAUGCAUCUGCUGGUGUUGGUGUUGAUCUUAUCAAAAAUUGUACUUGUUCCUUUUGCUCCAAAGCUGCUUAUAUCUGGUCGGAUCUUCAUUAUCAGGAUGUCAAGGGUAGACUUACUGCUUUAAGGAAGAGUCAGAAGGAAGCAAGAUUGGUGGUCCAAAAAUUUUCUGGAAUAAAUGAUACUCAUACUAUCAUAAAUCAACAGCAAGGUGGCAUUGAUCCAUCCAAUUUAGAAUCGACUCUUUUGCAUCAAUGGAAAUCUCUGUUUGUUCAUAUGGAAAACAUAUUGGGUCAUGAAAGUAGACAACUUGAAUCAAGCUUUGAAUCACUAAAAGACUUAAGAGAGAGCUGCAAGAAUGAUCUUGAGUUGUCCAACACAAGCAAUUCUGGCAAUCAUUAGUGAAUGGAUGCCUAUUAUGAUUGUAAGAUUGCUAUGCACACCAGUCUAUUAGUCUCUAGUUUCAGUUAUAUGCAUAUGUAGAUUUUUACUGUAUCUUUUGUGAAUUCGGUUAAUUGUAGAAUACCUGGAAGUAUUUGUGUAGAUUUGUCACAUCAACCAUUUCAAUUGGUUCUAGUAUGAACAAAAUCAACCUUCCUUGGAGGAAAAUGUUUAUGGGCUUUGUUGAAUGUUCCUAGAGGUGGUGCGUUGGGUAUGCGAAAUGUUUUUUGAAUGUCAUCUUUUUAGGCUGAAUGAAUGCAUGGAUUUUCUUGUGGUUGUGGAUUUCCCAUUUCAUGAGAGCUAAAUACCAUUUGUCAUGGGAUACUUUGUUUGGGCAUGGACAAUAUUUCUCUCUUGGGGUCAUGCACCUGAUUAUACUUAAUGAUAGCAGUAAGGUGUGAAAGACUAAGAUUCGAUCUCCAUAUAGCACAUCUUUAGAAGGACAAUGAGCUUUCAGUGUGCCUAAAUCUUGGUAGAUUAAUUUCGUAACCGGCUUGAAGGGUUUAAGCUUGUGGAUAUAUAUACGGUUUCAAAUAAGGAGCUGAAAACCUUAGCAAAGAUGAGUUAUAAAAUAAGUUUUGUAUCCCUCAUAUUGUAAAUUCUUGCACAUUUUUCAACAAUUUCUAGUACCUGUUGCUUCUAAUGGGUCGGUCUUGAUCAGCUCAACUGGACCUUCCUAUCCAUUUACAUGAGUUGAUAUAAUUUUUUGGUCAGCACCAAGUUGAUAUAUAUGAUUAUAAAAGGCAACAUCCUCUAGUUCCUCAUGGGCCAUGUGACCGAGUCCUAUGGUUAUGUUUGAAAACAAAGAAAUGGUAAAAUAGUUAAAAAAUAUGUUUUUGGAGUUAUUUAUGAUGAAUAGUUGGACGACAAGAUGUACACAGUAAAGCUUUAAAUUUGUGCUCCUCAAUUUAAAAUGUUAAGGAGGAAAUGAUUAGUUGGACUUC